rnacentral:tRNA from 1 species
UGGUCUAGUGGUUAGGAUACAGUACUUUUACUGCUGCGGCCCAGGUUCAAUCCCUGA